CAAGGCCACAGUGAAUACGGUAAAAAUCAGACCAUGUGGCUCCUGUCUUCAUCCCAGGCCAGCUGCAGGCAAGACGCUGUGGACAGCAUGGACUCUCCUCACCACACACUUCUUUCCCCAGCAUCCCCUGGGCACCACCAGCCAAGGAGGGGUGAGUAUGUCUGAGAAGCUAGCCCCUUACCACCACUCCAGGCUCCUCAAGGCCAUCCGGGUGUCAUGGCAACGUGGGCAGGAAGCGGCUGCCAUGGCAACUGGUGUCCAGGGAAGUGUGCUGCCUAGCAACAGGGGCCAGGGCCACUCUAGCUCCUAACAACACACUCUAGUUUCCCACACUUUCUGUGUGGCUGUGAGUCUCUGCACCUCUUCAGGACCCCUACCCAGGGCAGACUCAGCCCUUCUGCUGGCUGGAGCCAGGGCUCCACACAGACCCUCACUCCAACCCAACACACCAGCUCGCAGGUUGUUUAACGCGUUAGCACAGCUGACGCUCUACGCAGGACCCAGCCACGCUGCAGACUCAGGAUUCUUCUCUCCUUCCGGACUCCCCCGCCUCCCGGGACACUCUGGAGCUCAAGACCACACAAGGACCAUGGAGACAGAGAAGGCGUCUUCAGGGCUGGCUCUGAGAGAAGCCAGCCUUCCAGAUAGGGCACAGCUCAAGCAAAGGUCUGCAAGACAGCAGGAGAGGGACCAUCUGUAAAGGGACGGCAGCGAACUGAAAACGGAAUCAGAGCGCUGGCUGGGGGCACGCUUGUGCUCCGGUGCUGAUUAUGGCAACUGCCGACAGAACUUUCUAGGCACUCUCUAGGUCUUCAUUCCAGACAUCGGAGCUGGAGCAGGGAGAUGUGUGGCAAGACCCUCACCCUCCUUAGACCUGGACCACCCCUGCAGUUUAACAGAAAAGGCACCUAUUAGCUUUCUCAACUCCCUCAUAAACAGAGACCAAACAUAAAGGAAAACAGAACCAAAGAACCGUAAGGGAGAAAAAGAAAAUUUAGGCCGCAAAAGAUCUGUUCUCGCCCCAAACCACUCUAUUCUGAAAAGAGAACAGGAUGCUCUGAAAAAAGAAGCUCAGGAAUUAAAAAUACGACCACUGAAAUCCAAAGCUUUUUAACGGCCCACCAUGUGCUACUUAACACUUCGGGUCAACGACAGGCCACUUGUGGUCCCAUGAGAAUGCAUAACAUUGAGGACGGAGAGUGUGACUCAGCCAUAGCUGCUUGCCUAUCAUGUUCCAUCCCAUCACUGCCAAAAACUUUUGGUGGUAUUGAAAAACUCCCAUCAAUUAUGCCGUAGGCACCGAGACACAACGUGGCCCUCAUGCUUGUAGAGGGAAUGGUAAGAGCACACCACGGCUCUGCCAGGGGCAUCGCGUGCAGUACCCACGAGGUACCGUGCCCAGCACUGCAGAACAGCAAUAAACAGCCAUGAACUCCCUUA